UCUUGCACAAUGGGCGAAAGCCUGAUGCAGCAACGCCGCGUGAGGGACGAAGGCUUUCUGAGUUGUAAACCUCUUUCAGCAGGGACGAUUGUGACGGUACCUGCAGAAGAAGCCCCGGCCAACUACGUGCCAGCAGCCGCGGUAAUACGUAGGGGGCAAGCGUUGUCCGGAUUUAUUGGGCGUAAAGAGCUCGUAGGCGGCUUAGCAAGUCGGGUGUGAAACCUCCAGGCUCAACCUGGAGUCGCCACUCGAUACUGCUAUAGCUAGAGUUUGGUAGGGGAGCACGGAAUUCCUGGUGUAGCGGUGAAAUGCGCAGAUAUCAGGAGGAACACCAGCGGCGAAGGCGGUGCUCUGGGCCAAUACUGACGCUGAGAGCGAAC
rnacentral:rRNA from 1 species